GCCUCAAAUUAAAAUUAUUGUAGUCUUGGGAUGCAAAUCAAGUUCAAAUUAGUGCUUCUUCAGGAUCUAUUGCACUAAGGUUUCGGUUCCUUCCAUUUUUCUCUCAAUUGUUCUUCUACAUAAGUCUUUAUUUUCUUACAACUUUCUUUCCCCAUACGUUAUCUAAUGUUUCAUCAAAUUUUAUCUCCAAGUUCCAUCAAUCUUGAGCUUAAAAAGUGUUUCUCC
rnacentral:lncRNA from 1 species